UACAGAGGUCUCAAGCGUUGUUCGGAUUCAUUGGGCGUAAAGGGUGCGUAGGUGGCGGGGUUAGUCAGGUGUGAAAUCUCGGGGCUCAACCCCGAAACUGCACUUGAUACUGCCUUGCUAGAGUACUGGAGAGGAGAUUGGAAUUUACGGUGUAGCAGUGAAAUGCGUAGAUAUCGGAAGGAACACCGGUGGCGAAAGCGGCGCGCUGGACCUCUUCUGACGCUGAGGCGCGAAAGCCAGGGGAGCAAACGGG
rnacentral:rRNA from 1 species